AUGCUGUCCCUCUGCUCCAGGUGGGCAGCCCUGAUGUCAGGCAAGCUGUACGUGCUCAUCAGCUGGCCCGACGGCAGCCGGGUCAUCAGCAUGGAGAACAUCAAGGAGCCCCGCAAGCCCUUCCACCUCUACAGCGUGGGGGAGCAGGUCCUGGCCCGCUGCCCUGGCUUCAGUGGGCUCUACUGGGGUGUGGUGGAAGGCAUCAGUGAGCAUAAAGGUAUUUUGGAGAAGAAGCUGCUGGAAGAUCGACAGCUCCUGGAGAAGCUAAAAGAAGAACCAGCCGUCCACAGCAUGAUGCCGUCCCCACCAAAAAAAUCCAGGAAAACCUUUCCAAAAUGGACCCCAGGGAAUGCAUCCAGGAAACACCCCAGUGACAGGACCUGUCCUGCAAAGCCUCUGCUGAGGGUGGCUGAGGCCAGCCUGCCCCACGAUGCCAGCAGCUCCUCCAUCCUCAAGGACAGGCGUGUCCUGGGAAGCGUGGCAGGGAGCCCCCGCUCGCUGGCAGCUCCCCCACACCCAGCCAGUGCCUUCACCCCUCCAUCCUCCUUCAUCACCAUGGCCAUGCCAGGGCCAGGCACUUCCCAGAGUGAAGAGGACAGGGCUGGUCCAGCUGCAAGAGCAGAUUAUGUUGCCCUACCAAUGAAGAGGAAGUCAGAUGGCAUCUUUUCCCCGUGCCAGCAGCAGAUCUGUCUGAACAGGGUGGAGAAGAUGGAGCAGCUGGAAAGGAUGGUGCUGGACCUCCAGCAGGAUGUCCUCUCUCUGAAGAAGAAGGUGCAGAGGCUGGAAUCCCUGUCCUUCCAGGAGGAGCCCCACCGACAGCCAUGUGAGGUGGUGGAGCUCUUCAACGGCUACACCAAGGAGCAGCUGAAAGAGACCAUCAGGUUUGACCAGAAAAUCAGCACAGCCUGCAAGACUCUGCUCUACAAGCUCUUCACCUCUGACUACAUCCAGAGCCACUCCAUCACGGGGCGCAGGGGCAACACCUUCCGCGAGGCGAAGCCCAUGAUGGACGAACGCUGCAUCAAAAUCAUCAGGGUGCUGCUGAAGCAGAAGUUUGGGGAUCACCUCAGUGACACUGUGAUCACAGAGAAGAUCCAGAACGUGCAGAAAGCCCUGAGGCAGAAGUUUAAGACAGAGUGUCUCUGAGAUGUGGGAGAUUUGGUGUCUCCUCCUGCCAUUCCCGUGUGUGUCCCUGAGCAGCUUUCCCAGGAGAGAUGAGCUGAGCAGCUGCUGCUCAGUAGAUUUCCCCCAGGGAGCCAGCCCAAGUAAACCAUGUGCUAAACACAGCUCAAACACUGCCAAACCUCUUCCUCCAUUAACCAAGCAGGAACUGGGCCCAGCUUGGCUCAGUUUUUGCACUCUACAAGUUCCUUCCCAUCCAGCCUGUGUACAAACCUCACUGUGGGUGCAUGGAAUCACCUCUGUGACUCUGAUGAUGUGCUCAAAGGCUCCAUUGGAGUCCAAGAAUGGGUCAGGAAGGUAGCCCUGUUCCACACUGCAGAUAUGUUGGCUUUGGGAUAGGGAAUCCAGCUGUGUCACCUAAUGCAGCUUCUCUCUGUCUGCCUCUGGUUGCCUCAUUCUGCCUGUGGGACAAUAUUUACUCUUUCCUCACAGUGAAUGUUUUAUUUCCAGCACUAACAAAAAGGCAGACUCAUUAAAAUGACAUCUUAAAACAUUCAGAAAAAGAUAACUCGUUUUUUUUUUUUUUCUGUUUAUCUUAAUGUAGCUAUAUAGAGGAGUUGUCUUCCCUAACAAAAGUUUGCUGAACAAGAGAAGGGGUCAAUUAAUGGAACUUCCAAGGGAACCCAUGGAAGUUCCAUUAAUUUUCCUUUCAAGAUCAGAUUAUUUCCAUACAGGAGAAAUCCCUAACAUUUUUAUGACACAAGAGUGAGGGAUGGAGGACAAAAUAUGGCCCAACUUUGCUUUGAAGGUAUAUAUCUUGUGGACACUGUCACUAUUAUUUAAAUACAGUAUUUUUAUCCUAGAUAAAAAAUGCCAAGUACAAUCAGUCCCUUUGCUGAGGGACUACAGAGAAGGUCUAGAAAGAGAAAUCUUUUCCUAAAUAAUUCAGAGCUGGAGUGUGGGUGGAUUAAAAUUGUUCUAAGUGUUAAAAGAAUGAGAUGCUGACACCAGUCCAGCACUUAACAGAAGUGCUGCAAAAUCCCAAACAUUCCCUUUUACAGAGGCUUCUCAGACAGGGAAUUGGUUUUCUCAGCUUAAUUUUUAAAUUAUUCAGGAAAAGAAAUGCCAGUGGGAUUGCAUUAAUCAAAACAUUUGGUUUAAUUUAUAUGUUUUGUUGUGUUUUCAAAUAUUUAAUUUCUUCACAGUUACAUGAGAAAUAAUAAUGCAAAAUAAAUGUAUUGGAGAAACAAGAAGCUGUUUUGAA
rnacentral:lncRNA from 1 species